ACUCCCUGAGCUCCUCACAGGGCCUCCUCUCCUUCUGGAUGGCUCUGCUUCUCUCAUCCCCUGGAGGGAAUCAGGCCAUGGCUUGGAUCCUGCUGUUGCUGCUGCCACUAGCAUCCCUGCAGGCUGGUAACCAAGCAGGAGCCAACAGAAAAUAUGACUAUGGUGUUGAACAACCACCAUACCUGUCUGGUGUCCUGGGCGGUUCCAUCGACAUCCCCUUCUCCUUCUACUUCCCCGGGAAGUUGGCAAAGAAUCCCCAGAUGAGGAUCUCCUGGAGAUGGAAGCACUUCCAUGGGAAAUUUUUCUACAGCAGCACCCCGUCUUUCAUACACAAGCACUUCGAGAACCGGGUCACCCUGAACUGGACACAGGGUCAGACGUCUGGAGUCCUCAGAAUCCUGAACCUGCUAGAGGAGGACAAGACCUCGUACUUCUGCCGAGUCUCUCUAAACACACUGAAAGAAGGAAGGCAGCAGUGGCAGUCGAUAGAGGGGACCACACUCACCAUCGCCCACGGCAUCGGCACCACCAUGCAGAGUUCCACCAAUGUGACCUUUGCAGUCCCCACAGCUGGCCUUGAUGAUACUGAGGGCCAGAGGAACCAAGAGCCUUCACUUCUGAAUCUGGGAGCCACAGCUGGGGCGGUAGUGGGUACAGCUGUGCUCAUAAUCCCAGUUUGUGCACUGAUGAUCUUCCUCAGGUGGAAGAAAAGGCCCUUCCUGUAAUGUUGUCUGAACAUAGAGCACAGCUGAGAGGCGGGAUGCAGGAUCAGCAUGGAGGUCACACUGACAUACUGUGUCUUCUGCAGGCCAGCAGACUAACGCUGAAAGCCCAGCCAGGCUGAUGGCAUCGUCUACACCUCCCUUGCCCUCUCCAGUCUAAACUUACCAGAAGCACCUCCUGCCCCCAUUCAUGGGAACCUCAGAAAGAGACUCUACCCUCUGUCCUAAAGGCCUAAUGAAUGCGAUGGAGCACAAUCUCAGGGUCACCUAGACUUCUGGUAGGAAGCCUCCCAGCUUCCAAGAUACCCAAGGCCAGAGGCAGAAACUCAGAAAUUCGCAAAUUUGAAACUCACAGAAACUGCCAGUUCCCUCUUCACCUUUCUGUUGCUCAAGAAUAUAAUAAUGCCCACAGAAUUUGCCUGCAUGGAUCUAAGGAGAACACUGGCAUCACCUGCAACUUCUCUCUCUCACAAAAAAUGAACUUUGACAAACAACUCACAUCUAUCACCUCUCUUCUAGUAAUUAAAAAAAAAAAAAUUGCCAGGCAUGGUAGCACACGCCUU